GUGGGGAAUAUUGCACAAUGGGCGCAAGCCUGAUGCAGCGACGCCGCGUGAGGGAUGACGGCCUUCGGGUUGUAAACCUCUUUCACCAGGGACGAAGCGCAAGUGACGGUACCUGGAGAAGAAGCACCGGCCAACUACGUGCCAGCAGCCGCGGUAAUACGUAGGGUGCGAGCGUUGUCCGGAAUUACUGGGCGUAAAGAGCUCGUAGGUGGUUUGUCGCGUUGUUCGUGAAAUCUCACGGCUUAACUGUGAGCGUGCGGGCGAUACGGGCAGACUGGAGUACUGCAGGGGAGACUGGAAUUCCUGGUGUAGCGGUGGAAUGCGCAGAUAUCAGGAGGAACACCGGUGGCGAAGGCGGGUCUCUGGGCAGUAACUGACGCUGAGGAGCGAAAGCGUGGGGAGCGAACAGGAUUAGAUACCCCUGUAGUCC
rnacentral:rRNA from 1 species